rnacentral:rRNA from 1 species
GAUGAACGCUGGCGGCGUGCCUAAUACAUGCAAGUCGAGCGAACAGACGAGGAGCUUGCUCCUCUGACGUUAGCGGCGGACGGGUGAGUAACACGUGGAUAACCUACCUAUAAGACUGGGAUAACUUCGGGAAACGGGAGAUAACACCAGAUAACAUGUUGAACCGUAUGGUGCAAUAGUGAAAGACGGUUUUGCUGUCACUUAUAGAUGGAUCCGCGUCGCAUUAGCUAGUGGUAAGGUAACGGCUUACCAAGGCAACGAUGCGUAGCCGACCUGAGAGGGUGAUCGGCCACACUGGAACUGAGACACGGUCCAGACUCCUACGGGAGGCAGCAGUAGGGAAUCUUCCGCAAUGGGCGAAAGCCUGACGGAGCAACGCCGCGUGAGUGAAGAAGGUCUUCGGAUCGUAAAACUCUGUUAUUAGGGAAGAACAAAUGUGUAAGUAACUAUGCACGUCUUGACGGUACCUAAUCAGAAAGCCACGGCUAACUACGUG